CAGAAGGAACAAUCAACUUUGUAAUGAAUAAGCCACCAUGGAUGGUGGAAACCGAACCAAAAGAACUCGGCUUAGGAAUAUAUGUGUGAGAAUUCUCGAAAAGCUUUCCAAGUUCAAGUUUUUUCUACACAGUCGCUGCAGUACACCUCUAAUAUUCUAAGGUGGCAAAAAUGACAGAUUCAUCAAAGACUCUGAGAGCUUCCCAUUUAGAACUACAGAAAAUUGGGAGAUCGUUCUUUGAGGACAAAGAGG
rnacentral:misc_RNA from 1 species